ACGCUCGACACCUACUGGAGGCAGCAGUGGGGAAUAUUGCACAAUGGGGGAAACCCUGAUGCAGCGACGCCGCGUGGAGGAAGAAGGUCUUCGGAUUGUAAACUCCUGUUGUUGGGGAAAAAGAGGAUGGUACCCAACAAGGAAGUGACGGCUAACUACGUGCCAAGCAGCCGCGGUAAUCUGAGCGGGCUGGCAAGGC
rnacentral:rRNA from 1 species